rnacentral:rRNA from 1 species
GGGUCUAUUCUUACUAUGCAGUCGAGGGGAACGGCAUUUAGUGCUUGCACCCUUUGGACCUCCACCGGCGCACGGGUGAAUAACGCAUAUCCAACCUACCCAUUACUGUGGGAUAACCUGCCGAAAGGCAGACUAAUACCGCAUAGUCUUCGAUGACGGCAUCAUAUUUGAAGUAAAGAUUUAUCGGUAAUGGAUGGGGAUGCGUCUGAUUAGCUUGUUGGCGGGGUAACGGCCCACCAAGGCGACGAUCAGUAGGGGUUCUGAGAGGAAGGUCCCCCACAUUGGAACUGAGACACGGUCCAAACUCCUACGGGAGGCAGCAGUGAGGAAUAUUGGUCAAUGGACGAGAGUCUGAACCAGCCAAGUACCGUGCAGGAUGACGGCCCUAUGGGUUGUAAACUGCUUUUGUAUGGGAAUAAAUUCGCUCACGUGUGAUUGUUUGCAGGUACCAUACGAAUAAGGACCGGCUAAUUCCGUGCCAGCAGCCGCGGUAAUACGGAAGGUCCGGGCGUUAUCCGGAUUUAUUGGGUUUAAAGGGAGUGUACGCCGGAUAUUAAGUGUGUUGUGAAAUGUAGACGCUCAACGUCUGACUUGCAGCGCAAACUGGUUUACUUGAGUACACUCAACGUUGGCGGAAUUCUUCGUGUAGCGGUGAAAUGCUUAGAUAUGACGAAGAACUCCUAUCGCGAAGACAGCUGACGGGAGCGCAACUGACGCUUAAGCUCGAAGGUGCGGGUAUCGAACAGGAUUAGAUACCCUGGUAGUCCGCACAGAAAACGAUGGAUGCCCGCUGUUGGUACCUGGUAUCAGCGGCUAAGCGAAAGCAUUAAGCAUCCCACCUGGGGGAGUACGCCGGCAACGGUGAAACUCAGAGGAAUUGACGGACU